AUGAAUUGUGGUACUUUUCUUUUUGUUAAAUACUCUCUCAUCUAUCAAGAUAUAUCUAAGCGUAAAGCGGUGGCUUCUGUUGCCAUGCUUGUAACUUGGGACAUAUGGAACGAGUAUAACGCAAGGGUCUUCAACAACAAGCACUCACUCACUUAGAUCAUUUUCUCGCAUACCCUCAAGUAGUCUGUAUUGUGGGUAGCCGCAUAGACGAAACACUUGGGUUUUAUAUUGCCAGGAAAGUAG
rnacentral:rRNA from 1 species